rnacentral:rRNA from 1 species
UACCAGCACCCCGAGUGGUCGGGACGAUUAUUGGGCCUAAAGCAUCCGUAGCCGGUUCUGCAAGUCUCCCGUUAAAUCCAACUGCUCAACAGGUGGGCUGCGGAGGAUACUACAGAGCUAGGAGGCGGGAGAGGCAAGCGGUACUCAGUGGGUAGGGGUAAAAUCCGUUGAUCCAUUGAAGACCACCAGUGGCGAAGGCGGCUUGCCAGAACGCGCUCGACGGUGAGGGAUGAAAGCUGGGGGGAGCAAACCGG